GAUGAACGCUGGCGGCGUGCCUAAUACAUGCAAGUCGAGCGAACAGACGAGGAGCUUGCUCCUCUGACGUUAGCGGCGGACGGGUGAGUAACACGGGGAUAACCUACCUAUAAGACUGGGAUAACUUCGGGAAACCGGAGCUAAUACCGGAUAAUAUAUUGAACCGCAUGGUUCAAUAGUGAAAGACGGUGUUGCUGUCACUUAUAGAUGGAUCCGCGCCGCAUUAGCUAGUUGGUAAGGUAACGGCUUACCAAGGCAACGAUGCGUAGCCGACCUGAGAGGGUGAUCGGCCACACUGGAACUGAGACACGGUCCAGACUCCUACGGGAGGCAGCAGUAGGGAAUCUUCCGCAAUGGGCGAAAGCCUGACGGAGCAACGCCGCGUGAGUGAUGAAGGUCUUCGGAUCGUAAAACUCUGUUAUUAGGGAAGAACAAAUGUGUAAGUAACUAUGCACGUCUUGACGGUACCUAAUCAGAAAGCCACGGCUAACUACGUG
rnacentral:rRNA from 1 species